rnacentral:tRNA from 1 species
UGUCCGUGAAUUUCAAUUGGAUGAAUCCUUGAAUACGAAUCAAGAGGCUGGGGGUUCGAAUCCCUCCAUGGACACCAA